rnacentral:lncRNA from 1 species
UGUCAACAUGCAGGAGGUGGUUGACAGCCUGAGAAAUCAAGCAGUUUUGGUAGGAAGAGUUUUUGAUAUGGAAAUCAUAACUCUUCCUGGCAUGGAUUCGCUGCACGAUAUGGUAGAGAUUCAGUCUUGGCUGCACUUGUUCGACAAAAAAUUCCCCAUCCUCUAUGAAGAAGAAGUUCGUGAAUUUUACUACAAUGUUCAAUUUAGGUAAGAUGGGAGCAUCCUCACACGGGUAAAUGAUAUUGCCAUAUCUUUGGAUGAGGAGGUGUUGAGCAAAAUUCUCAUGGUGCCUAAAGAGGGGACCUGGUCUGUGCUAGGCAAAACUUGCUCUUCUGAGUUUGCUUCUGUGAUUUCUAAGACACCCACAACUAAGGUUGCUGGGAUUUAUAAGAAAAUCAUGAAGAGUGAGUAUCAGCUGGUCUUUAAGUUCAUCAACAAGGUGCUCCUUCCUCGCACAGAAAAGAGGACAGUCGCAACUGCUGCUGAUUUGUAUGUGACGGAGAUGUUGUGUAGCUUCGACGCCCUGAACCUCCCUGGUCUAAUGCUUGAACAUAUUCACAAAACCUUCAUUGCGAGGAAAGGUGUUCAUGGAAUGGGUUACGGAUACUUUCUCACAGAGGUAAGUCAAGCAUUUUCAAAUUCCUCUCAGUGUUGGAAAGGUUGGGACAGUUAAACAGACUAUCUCUGAGAGUACCUUGGUUGAGUGCGAAUGCAUUGAAGGAAGAGGCUAUCCAAAGAGCAAGAUGGAUCAACUUAUUGAUGAUCAGGAUCAUCUUAAGCACGAGGUUGAAGAGCUCACUAUGCGGUUAAGUGGUAAAGAGGUAGAAAUUGCUAUACUCAAAGCAGAACUGCUUACUGCACAGAGUGAGGGACCUGGUUCUUCAGUGAUUCAAGCUAUGGAGAAGGAAAAUGCUGAGUUGAAGGCGAAUAUCACUGCCCUGCAAGAAAAGUCCAUCAAAGAUAAUGAUGCUGCCAAUGCACGACUCACUCUUGUUAUCCAGUCCCUGUCUCAUCCUCCCCCCUCUUCCUAGCCUGUUGAACACUUUCUUUUGUGUCAAUUUUUUUUGUGGCUUAUCACUGUAUUGAUGGAUAUUCAGUUUGUUUUUAAUGUAUUAAUGUUAUGAUGGCAUGCCUGUUAAUUUAUUCCUUUGCUGUUUUGAUUAUCUUCUUUUGUGCAUGCUUUUCCCUUACUGAUUGAUUGUUAUUUAGCUUUGAUCUUGUUCAGUAUUUCGGUUUACAUCAUUGUUUUACUGCAUAUCUUUUUUAUGAUGCCAAAAGGGGGAAGUAAAACUGUGAAUAGCUAAAUGAUAAUUCAGUGAGGGGGAAUGUAAAGUGAGGGGGAAUAUAAAAAGGGGGAACAAAGUUGAAGAAGAUCUUAGAUCACUGUUUCAUUGUUUGUCAUCAUCAAAAAGGGGAAAAUGUUAUUUGUAGUUUUGAUGAAUUGACAAACUUAGGGACCUUGUAAAGGUACCAGUUUCAUACUUGAGUAUUGCAGGUUUCUUACUUGAGUAUUGCAGAUGAAACAAACCCAGGGACCUAGUAGAGGUAUCAGGCUCUCAUGAUGACGAGCUAGUUGACUGCCAGCUGGAGACGGUACAGAAAGUAGGUGCAUACUUCCCGAUGGCGUCAGAAAGUGUGACUUUUCCAUCCAAUGGCAAAGAGGUUUAGGAAAGUGACUUGUCCAUAUAAAAGUCAGUUUCCUUAACAUUUUUUGGCAGUUUUUGCAACUUGAGAGAAACCUCUUCAAGAACAUUUGCAAUGGCUGCUAGAAACAAAGGCAGAAGUAUUCCAACAACAACAGCAAUCUCUGGAGCUUUUCGUAUAGUUGUUUAGGAAUACAUUCUCUUGUUCGUAAACUGUAAACUAUUCCUCAAUCUAUAAAGGAAUUGUUGUGUUGUGUUAAAAGUCUAGGUUGUCCAAGUGGGAUAACUUAGUGGGUAGAUAGUUUUCUACUUAGUCUUGUUAAGCAAGAGGGAUUAUUGCUUAACUGUGAGAUUGAUAACUUUUUCUUACUUUUGGUGUAAUCGUGUUUUACUUUUGCUUUUGAAGAUUAGUGAAAACGAUUAAAAAUCCUGUGAGACAAGUCGUGGUUUUACUCCCUUAAGCAAGGAGGUUUCCACGUAAAAUCAUCGUAUUGAUUUUACUGCAUUUAACUUUCUGUUUUAUUCAUUAGUGUAGUAAGGGACCUGGUCUAUUACUUGUUAAGUGAAGGCAUAUAUUCUAUCAUAAUCAUCUUUAUAAACAUUUGUUGAUAUAGUGUACAAAUUAAACAUGUUAUUGUUUACCCUUGCAUGCGCCUUCAUAUUAUUAUCCAAGUUGAUAAUUCUAAUUAUAACUCUUGAAGUAUUCUCACAAAAUCAGUAGAGUAUCUAUUGAAAGAAGCUAAGUUAUUAUAAUUGAAUCCAAAGUAUCAUCUCUUUGUGCUUAUACAUUUUCUAUAAUAUGAGAUUUAUAUAAUUUUACUCAUACAUGGAAGUAUUGAAAUAGAAUCAAUUGCAUAUUGUGAAUGAAUUCCAUCGUAUGAAUGUGUUUAUUCUAAUGAAUAUUUUCAUUUUAAAAAAAAAAUAAAAAAAUCUAUAGAACAUUCAUCUGAUCGACUUAAUUAUUAAGGGUUUGAUUCAAACAUGUGAUAUAUUUUCAUGAAGAGUUAUCAUCAUACUAUAUUUGUUUACUUACAAAGAUAUCAUUAGUUUAUGAAGCUAAUUAUACUCGACGUGAUCCCAACAAUAUUAUAUAACAAUUAUGCAACAUUAUCAAAAAAAAAUGUCAAUGUCAAAUCAGUUUGUCCAAUGAUAAUUUGACUAAUCUGAUCAUAAAGACACAACCACUUCAAUUAGAAGAUUUGGGUACUAUCAUCUUCAAGAGUUAUAAUUAUGUGAUACUUUAAUUAGCUAGGGAUGAGUAAAAUAUGUGCUCCUUAAUCAAGAUUUUAUUGCAUUUUUGACACCGCUAGUUAUAUGUAUUAUUAUAUAUGUGUACUCAAUUUUAUUCUUUAAUUUUUUUCUAAUAAAAUUUUAAUGAAACACAAUAUCGAUUAAUGAGCAUAUAUAUUAAAGAUAGUUUUGUAAAUAUAUUGUAAAAUAGAUGUACAAGCAGAUAGAACGAACCACAAAUAGAUUAAUCAUGAAAAAACUUGUAAUCAAACACGCAAUUACUAGCAAUCAACUUUUGAAAAGUCUUUCGGAUGCUUUCUAAUCAACUUCUUUUCUUCUAUAGAUAAAAAAUAAACUCUCUUUAAUUACAACAACUUAAAAUAAAAUUAUUUCUCUUCCCUGAUUUCUUUUGCUAUAUUUUUUAUUGUUUUAAUAUUUUGUCAUAAUUAACAAAUUUCACUCUAAUACUUUUAACUUUUAGAUUUUAAAAAUAUAACUCUUCCUAAAAAGAUGAAAAGGACCUAUUGAGCUCAAAGUCAACCCUCAAAUCCAGAGUAAAGUUGAGUUUCAAAAGGUGAAAAAAUAAUCAUCAACUAAUAUGCACUAUAUAUUUGUAUUAUUAAAAAAAUGAAACAACAUCAUAAAAGAAUGUAUAAUUAGAUUAAAAUAUGAUCUCAUCAAUAUUCUAUGAGAUAUGUUCAUAACAUCUAUAAACUACUAUAUAUUUUAAUAUCUUGUUUUCCAAAAUGAUCGUCAACUAAUAUGCAUUAUACACUUAUUUUAUUUUUAAAAAAAGGAACAAAGUCAUAAUAGGAGGAUUAUAUAGGAUAUGAUAUCUCAUUUGUUCUUAAUAUUCUAUGAAUAAUGUUCAUACCACCUACAAACUAUUAUAUAUUUUAAUGUCUUACUUUUCAAAUUGCUUACGGAUGAUAUUAGACAUUAAAGCGCGUCAUCUUCGUUUUAUUUAUAUGACACAAUAAAUUUUUAAAUAAUUUUUUAUAAAUAUUUUAAGUUAUUCCUUAUUAUAAUUUAUGUAGUAUUUUUACAUAAUUUUCAUAUAAGUUAUGUUACAUUCUUUAUUUCAAUUUAUUUAGUACGGAUAGAAUUUGAUGAGAAUUAUUUUUUUAAUGUAUUUUAAAUAUUUUAAUUUGUCAAUUGUAGCAAUAUAUAAUACUUUUUACGUCAUUGACUUAUUUCCAUAUAAGAAAUGUUACUUCAUAUAUAUAUAUAUAUAUAUAUAUAUAUAUAUAUAUAUAUAUAUAUAUAUAUAUAUAUAUAUAUAUAUAUAUAUAUAGAAUUUAGAGAAUGAAUCGAUUUUUAUUUACAUAUAUAUAUAUAUAUAUAUAUAUAUAUAUAUAUAUGUAAAUAAAAAUCGAUUCAUUCUCUAAAUUCUAUAUAUAUAUAUAUAUAUAUAUAUAUAUAUGAAUAGAAUUUAGAGAAUGAAUCGAUUUUUAUUUCUUUUAAAUUUUAAAGUUAUUAAUUCUUCUGAUUUAUUGUAUUCUUUAGUUAUUUCAAAUAAUUAUUUAGACAUUCCUAUGUUUUAAAUAUGUUAUAGAAAGAAAAGUCUACUGAAAUUUUAUAAUUUUAAUUAUUAGGGAUGACAAUGGAGCGGUGUAGGAUUGGACGGUGUGGGUUAAGUUUAAUUUGUAAAUUUUUUAAUUUGCUCUGCAUAAUAGUUCUUUUCAUUUUCAACCCUCCUUGCAUGAACCCCGCCCGCAUAAUAUUUUAAAUAUUUUUUUUCUAGUUAUGUUGAUACCAAAGAUAAAAUUCAUAAAAUAAAUUUAUUUUGUCAUUCAGUUAUAUUUAUUUAUUAGGAUAGUGACUUUAAAUUUUAUUUUUUAAAGGUCAAUUAGAAAACAUGUAAGAAAUUGUAUUAUUUUUUAUUGAAUCAUUAUUUUGAAUAUUUUAAUAGCUUUAAUGAAAUUCUUAAUAAAUAAUGCUCUAUCACUUUUAUAACAUGUAAAAGUUAAGUUUGAACCCAUAUAAAAUCACAUAUACCCAUUAUCCGUAACCCGCUCAAUCCCACUUUAAUUUUUAAAAAAAUCCACUUCAACUCGCCCGCAUCAACCCUGUCCACACAAUCUUAGACGUCUCACAAAGCUUUAAACCCGUUUCGCUUGGCAUCUGCCCCUCCUUAUUGUCAUCCAUAGUUUUAUGAAAAUAACACGUAUUCUUUUGUAUACAUAUAAGAGGUCAGGAGGCACACAACUCUUGAAUGAUGUAUCUGCUUGAGUUGUGUGCUUUCAUGAAGAAAGUGGAACUCCCACUCAAACAUUUGAGUAUUUUUGCUGGUUUAUUUUUUUUUUCUUACUUUCGGUUUUAAUUUGUUAUAGGUUUAAAAAUAUAUAAAUAAAGCGAUAAAUUUUAAUAUAUCACAAAUUAAAUAUUCUAUUGUAUAUUUAAAAAUUACAUAAAAAAAUUAUACAUUACAGUAUUUAAGAUCUUGAAAUAUCUUAAUAUCUAAUGAGAUUUUACAAGAACACAACUCUUAACAGUAAAUUAAAUAUUUAAAAAUUACAUGAAAAUUACAAUAAUAAACAAUUUAAAUAUUUUAGUAUAUAUUUGAGAAUUGUGUAAAAAAUAUUAUGAAUUUAAUAAUUUUAAAAUAUUUUAAAGUAAAUAUAAAAAUUGAUUGAUUCUUAAAAUUAUAUAGAUGCAACAUAAAUUGGAACAAACGAAAUAACAUAUAUUAUUUAAAAAUUAUGUGACACAUACUAUUAAUCGCAAUAAUUAAAAGUUCAAAAUAUUUCUUCAAAACAAUAUAUAAGAAAAUCAAUCAACUCUCCAAGCUAUUGUUUGACCCUAAGCUCACAAAUAUUCUUGGCAAAUCCUAUUUGAAUGAAGUGUUUGGUAAAUUUUUACUAUGUGUUUGUCCUUAAAAUUUUUCAAAAAUAUUUGACUAUUUCAAAAAAUUUAUACCAUAAGCUUUAAAAUUAUUAAAAGUACUCAUAAAUUUAUAUUAUCAUUUUGUAAUGACUAGAUACUUUGAAUUAUGACCUUAUCAUAUAAUUGAUAAAAAUUAACAGUAACAAUAUAGGCAAGACAAUAUUUUAGUUGUUUACUCAAAUUUAUCACUAUUUCAAUUAUAAUUACAACGUGUUAAAUACAAAUUGUUUCUUUUUUCUCAAUUUUUCACUCAAAUAAAAACUCAAUCUUUUUUGGAGUCGGCAUAACAAAUAUUAGUUGAAAUAAAAAAUUCAAAUAUUAACCAAAAUAGUAGUUUUUUCUAAUAUUUGAGAACCUGCGAUAUUAUAUUUGCCAAAUUAUAUAAUUAAACACCAUUUUUCAAAUUUUGCUCAAGUAUUCUUUGGGUCAAACAAGUCCUAAAUUUCUUAGACGAAACAAAGUAACCUCAAAAGUAUUUCUCUUAUUUUAAUUGAUCAAAAUAUAUAAUAAUUAAGAACAACUAAAAAAUAAAAAGCGGGUAACUAAUUAAGAAGUGUGGGCAUGAUUAAAGAAGAAUUGAAGACCACUAUAAGUAGAAGGUUCUAGGAAAGAAAAUGUGGGGGAGAUAAUGUAAAUAAAAAAAACAAAGGGCAAAUAACGUGUGAUUUGUUUAUGACAAGUUUGAUGGGCUGUCGAAAUUACUGUCACGGAUCUCUCGCUCGCCUUAUAUAAUUGAAGCAAUGAUUCAUUUCCUUUAUUCCUAGACUAGAUAGAUGUGCUUUUCUACCCAUACACGUAUUCAUUCAUAACAGUAACUUUUUAUUUUAUAGACUAUACUAUACAUAGAGACUAGACUAGAGAGAGAAGAGAAUAGAAGACAGACCAUUCAUUCAUUGAUCCAUUGAUCUGAUGAUGGAGAACCAAGUUGACAUAGAGAAUGAUGGAGGAGGUAUGAUUGAGGAAGAGAAAUUUGAUUUGGAGAGAAAUUUUUCAACAAUUUCUGAAACUGGUAGCAUAAGAGAGCCUUUGCUCAAAUCUAAGAGCAGAGUCAACAAUACCUCCCAAAUCGCUAUUGUUGGAGCCAAUGUUUAUCCCAUUGAAAGCCUCGACUAUGAGUAUGUACUACUUAUCAUUUUUUUUUAUUCCUUCCAUCUCUACUCUGCUACUACUAAUAGUAUGAUUAAAUACUUUUUGCAGUAUUGUAGAAAAUGACCUUUUCAAGCAAGACUGGAGAUCUAGGAAAAAGGUUGAGAUAUUUCAAUAUAUAUUUCUUAAAUGGACUCUUGUGCUCUUAAUUGGAUUGAGUACUGGACUUGUUGGUUUCUUUAACAACAUUGGAGUGGAAAAUAUUGCUGGUUUCAAGCUUCUUCUCACUAGCAACUUAAUGCUUGAGGGAAAGUAAGUACAUCUUCAACUUCAGCUACUCUACGCUCUUUGUUCAAUUUAUUAAUUACAGAGCAGGUAUUUCCAGGCAUUUGCUGCUUUUGCUGGUUGCAAUGUGUUUUUUGCAACUUGUGCCGCAGCCCUCUGUGCAUUUAUUGCACCUGCAGCUGCAGGCUCUGGUAUACCUGAAGUAAAAGCCUAUCUGAAUGGUAUCGAUGCUCAUUCCAUUUUGGCUCCAAGUACAUUACUUGUCAAGGUUGGUCUCUCAACUCCUUUUCCUUUCUUGUGUACACCCUGUUGAUCGCUCCAUGGCCGUAUCUAAGAAGCAUAAUUCUAGCUUACAACAAUAACCGUUAUGAUUGCAAUUAAAGUUGAGAGUGUCAACAUGCAGGAGGUGGUUGACAGCCUGAGAAAUCAAGCAGUUUUGGUAGGAAGAGUUUUUGAUAUGGAAAUCAUAACUCUUCCUGGCAUGGAUUCGCUGCACGAUAUGGUAGAGAUUCAGUCUUGGCUGCACUUGUUCGACAAAAAAUUCCCCAUCCUCUAUGAAGAAGAAGUUCGUGAAUUUUACUACAAUGUUCAAUUUAGGUAAGAUGGGAGCAUCCUCACACGGGUAAAUGAUAUUGCCAUAUCUUUGGAUGAGGAGGUGUUGAGCAAAAUUCUCAUGGUGCCUAAAGAGGGGACCUGGUCUGUGCUAGGCAAAACUUGCUCUUCUGAGUUUGCUUCUGUGAUUUCUAAGACACCCACAACUAAGGUUGCUGGGAUUUAUAAGAAAAUCAUGAAGAGUGAGUAUCAGCUGGUCUUUAAGUUCAUCAACAAGGUGCUCCUUCCUCGCACAGAAAAGAGGACAGUCGCAACUGCUGCUGAUUUGUAUGUGACGGAGAUGUUGUGUAGCUUCGACGCCCUGAACCUCCCUGGUCUAAUGCUUGAACAUAUUCACAAAACCUUCAUUGCGAGGAAAGGUGUUCAUGGAAUGGGUUACGGAUACUUUCUCACGGAGGUAAGUCAAGCAUUUUCAAAUUCCUCUCAGUGUUGGAAAGGUUGGGACAGUUAAACAGACUAUCUCUGAGAGUACCUUGGUUGAGUGCGAAUGCAUUGAAGGAAGAGGCUAUCCAAAGAGCAAGAUGGAUCAACUUAUUGAUGAUCAGGAUCAUCUUAAGCACGAGGUUGAAGAGCUCACUAUGCGGUUAAGUGGUAAAGAGGUAGAAAUUGCUAUACUCAAAGCAGAACUGCUUACUGCACAGAGUGAGGGACCUGGUUCUUCAGUGAUUCAAGCUAUGGAGAAGGAAAAUGCUGAGUUGAAGGCGAAUAUCACUGCCCUGCAAGAAAAGUCCAUCAAAGAUAAUGAUGCUGCCAAUGCACGACUCACUCUUGUUAUCCAGUCCCUGUCUCAUCCUCCCCCUCUUCCUAGCCUAUUGAACACUUUCUUUUGUGUCAAUUUUUUUUGUGGCUUAUCACUGUAUUGAUGGAUAUUCAGUUUGUUUUUAAUGUAUUAAUGUUAUGAUGGCAUGCCUGUUAAUUUAUUCCUUUGCUGUUUUGAUUAUCUUCUUUUGUGCAUGCUUUUCCCUUACUGAUUGAUUGUUAUUUAGCUUUGAUCUUGUUCAGUAUUUCGGUUUACAUCAUUGUUUUACUGCAUAUCUUUUUUAUGAUGCCAAAAGGGGGAAGUAAAACUGUGAAUAGCUAAAUGAUAAUUCAGUGAGGGGGAAUGUAAAGUGAGGGGGAAUAUAAAAAGGGGGAACAAAGUUGAAGAAGAUCUUAGAUCACUGUUUCAUUGUUUGUCAUCAUCAAAAAGGGGAAAAUGUUAUUUGUAGUUUUGAUGAAUUGACAAACUUAGGGACCUUGUAAAGGUACCAGUUUCAUACUUGAGUAUUGCAGGUUUCUUACUUGAGUAUUGCAGAUGAAACAAACCCAGGGACCUAGUAGAGGUAUCAGGCUCUCAUGAUGACGAGCUAGUUGACUGCCAGCUGGAGACGGUACAGAAAGUAGGUGCAUACUUCCCGAUGGCGUCAGAAAGUGUGACUUUUCCAUCCAAUGGCAAAGAGGUUUAGGAAAGUGACUUGUCCAUAUAAAAGUCAGUUUCCUUAACAUUUUUUGGCAGUUUUUGCAACUUGAGAGAAACCUCUUCAAGAACAUUUGCAAUGGCUGCUAGAAACAAAGGCAGAAGUAUUCCAACAACAACAGCAAUCUCUGGAGCUUUUCGUAUAGUUGUUUAGGAAUACAUUCUCUUGUUCGUAAACUG